rnacentral:lncRNA from 1 species
UGCAGUGGACACUUCACGGCUGGCACAGGAGAGAUCACAAGGCCUUGCUCAAUUUCAUCAAAAGUGUUAAAGCGACUCAGCAGAUUGUGAAGCACAAGUGGAAGCUGAUAAUUGGUGUUUCUUACAAAUCAACGGCUUGUCUCCACACAUCAAGGUGAGAAAAUCAAUGUAAAAGAGGAGAAAUAACCCACACAACUACAUACAACUAGGAAAUGAUAGUUGGAUCUGAACAAAAGGAUAUGCACUCUUA